AUACGGAGGAUGCAAGCGUUAUCCGGAUUUAUUGGGUUUAAAGGGUGCGUAGGCUGUUCGGAAAGUCAGGGGUGAAAGCCCGGCGCCUAACGCCGGAACUGCCUUUGAUACUUCCGAGCUGGAAUACGGAUGCCGUGGGAGGAAUGAGUAGUGUAGCGGUGAAAUGCAUAGAUAUUACUCAGAACACCGAUUGCGAAGGCAUCUCACGAAUCCGUCAUUGACGCUGAGGCACGAAAGCGUGGGGAUCAAACAGGAUUAGAUACCCUGGUAGUCCACGCAGUAAACGAUGAUGACUAACCGUCGGCGAUACACAGUCGGUGGCCAAGCGAAAGCGAUAAGUCAUCCACCUGGGGAGUACGUUCGCAAGAAUGAAACUCAAAGGAAUUGACGGG
rnacentral:rRNA from 1 species